UACGUAGGGUGCAAGCGUUUGUCCGGAAUUAUUGGGCGUAAAGAGCUCGUAGGCGGUUUGUCGCGUCUGCUGUGAAACCCGAGGCUCAACCUCGGGCCUGCAGUGGGUACGGGCAGACUAGAGUGCGGUAGGGGGAGAUUGGAAUUCCUGGUGUAGCGGUGGAAUGCGCAGAUAUCAGGAGGAACACCGAUGGCGAAGGCAGAUCUCUGGGCCGUAACUGACGCUGAGGAGCGAAAGCAUGGGGAGCGAACAGG
rnacentral:rRNA from 1 species